rnacentral:sRNA from 1 species
CAUCUUCAAUCUGUUGCGGGCAAAUGAAGUGGAUGUGGCUGUCAAAGCCCCCGGCGGUCAGGAUACGUCCCUCGCCUGCGAUGACCUCCGUGCCUGGCCCGACAAUGAUGCUCACACCCGGCUGGGUAUCCGGGUUGCCCGCCUUGCCGAUGGCCGCAAUACGCCCAUCUUUCAGCCCGACAUCCGCCUUGUAGACGCCGGUCCAGUCGACGAUCAGCGCGUUGGUGAUCACAGUGUCCACAGCACCGGCGGCACGGGUGGUCUGGGCUUGUCCCAUGCCGUCGCGGAUG